rnacentral:rRNA from 1 species
GAUGAACGCUGGCGGCGUGCUUAACACAUGCAAGUCGAACGAAGCAAGUUCACGGAAGUUUUCGGAUGGAAGUGGGAUUGACUGAGUGGCGGACGGGUGAGUAACACGUGGGUAACCUGCCUCACACUGGGGGAUAACAGUUAGAAAUAGCUGCUAAUACCGCAUAAGACCACAGCGUCGCAUGGCGCAGUGGUAAAAACUCCGGUGGUGUGAGAUGGACCCGCGUCUGAUUAGCUAGUUGGUGGGGUAAUGGCUCACCAAGGCGACGAUCAGUAGCCGGCCUGAGAGGGCGACCGGCCACAUUGGGACUGAGACACGGCCCAAACUCCUACGGGAGGCAGCAGUGGGGAAUAUUGCACAAUGGGCGAAAGCCUGAUGCAGCGACGCCGCGUGAGUGAAGAAGUAUUUCGGUACGUAAAGCUCUAUCAGCAGGGAAGAAAAUGACGGUACCUGACUAAGAAGCCCCGGCUAACUACGUGCCAGCCGCCGCAGUAA